AAUGUGUCUUGGUCCCACCUAUUUUACUUUGAAAAAAGAGGAAAUUUAUUUGCUUAUCAAAAAAAAAAAAAAAAAAGGGAUAUUUAUUUCAGUCUAAUAAAUAUAAAAAAAAGAUGCAUUAUUUUGUAUUUUGCCAAAAUUACCCUCACACCCUGUAACACAAAGAUACGCUAUUUGUUUCUCCCUCUUUCGUUUCCCAACAGCUUCUUCUUCCUCUGAUAAUGGCGGCCACCACAUCGUGUUCUCCGGCUAUCUCCGUCAUCUCUGAAAUCAAAACCAAACCGAUCACUACCGGAAGCUUUCCCAACUUCGCACUCCAAUCUUCCUCUUCUUCCAAACUCAUCUCUAAAACCCUAACUCUUCGCCGAUGUUAUUGGCUGGGUAUCAAAAUCCCCGCAAUUUUUCAGUGUUGGCGAUCAAAAUCUCCGCCCCACUCGAUUUCAAUGGGAUUAAGCAGAUUAGUGUUAUUGGUUGGGGAUCACAGGGACUGACUCAAGCUCAAAAUCUAAUGGACUCACUUGUUGAAGCAAAGUCUGAUAUUGUGGUCAAGGUUGGACUGAGGAAAGGUUCCAAUUCCUUUGCUGAAGCUGCUGGGUUUUCUGAAGAAAGGUUCUAGUUUAUCAAUUUACUUUUUUUUUUUGGUAAAGUGACACGUGGCAUUGUGACUAUUACUCUUCCUAAAUUUUUCCGGUUUCCCGCUAAUUUGUGGUAGACUGAGAGUCUCUGUUAUACUUCUACUGCUUUGCACAUUUAUUUACAACAAUAACAAUAACAACACAUUGGUGAAUUGAAGUGUUAACCAUGGAUUUGUCUUUUCUUCAAAGCCCAAAUGCACAAUCUUUUCUUCAUGGUUCAAAGGCAUCUCAGGUAUUCUGUUUUCUGAUUUUUUUCUCCUUCCUUUUAUGCUUUAACACUUGCAACAUGUAUAGAGUUUUGUAAUUUUUUUUAUUCUUUAUAUUUGUAGAUGAUAAAUAACACAAUGGAUGAAGGUAAUACUAGUACCGAUAAAAUAUAUGUAGAUUUAAAUGAAUAUCCAAUUGAAGAAAUUUCUUUAGAGAAGGGUUAUUCUGAAACAAUCGGUGAACAUUUUGAUGAUGAUAUUGUGGCAAAAGAUGUAUUAGAAGUUGACAAAAUUGAAACUUACCAGAAAGAAAUUUGUGUUGCGCUAUUAUAAAGAUGCUAAUAGUAGAAAACACAUGGUCUUUUGGGAUGGUAAAAUAGCUACAUGUAGUUGCAAGUAUUUUGAGUUUUGGGGGAUAUUAUGUCGUCACAUUCUCAGUAUUUUUCUGCAUAAAGAUUGUCAUGAAAUCCCUUCUAACUACUUGCCGUCACGAUGGCGACUUCAAACAUCACAUGACGAUGAUGAAGUAGAUCCCCAACAAGUCAACGUUGUCUUUGAGGAACAAGUUGAUGUUCAGUGUCCUCCACCUUCCAAAACAAAAGGUCGUCCCAAACGAAGACGUCUUAAAGGUGGAAAAGAGCUAUCACACAACAUGAAUACUUGUGGAUUUUGCAAAGGCGAAGGACAUAAUGUUGUGACAUGUCUUAAAAAAAAUACUGAAUUUUCUGGUCAAUCAAACAAGAAGAAUAAAAUUUGUAAGGAUGCAAAUUUAAAUCCAGUUCUUCUUCCAAAAGUUUAGGAAUAUAUUGGCAAUGUAGUAUGUUGAAUGAUACUUCAAAAGAAGGCUGGUGUUGGCAUAGGCACAAAUAUGAAGGCCUUGGAUUUAGUUUUAUGAACUUUUCAUUUUAGUUAAAUAUUUGAACAUCUGUUUUGAUAUAUUUUGUACUGCAAAUGGUAUCAUUUCAUUUGAA